rnacentral:rRNA from 1 species
CGAACGCUGGCGGCGUGCCUAACACAUGCAAGUCGAACGAUGAAGCUGGAAGAGCUUGCUCUUCUGGUGGAUUAGUGGCGCACGGGUGAGUAACACGUGGGCAACCUGCCCUCAGGAGGGGGACAACAUCGGGAAACCGGUGCUAAUACCGCAUAAGACCACAAUCUGGAAUGUUAGUGGUAAAACGGAUUUAUUCGCCUGAGGAUGGGCCCGCGGCCUAUCAGGUAGUUGGUGGGGUAAAGGCCUACCAAGCCGAUGACGGGUAGCCGGUCUGAGAGGAUGAGCGGCCACACUGGAACUGAGACACGGUCCAGACUCCUACGGGAGGCAGCAGUGGGGAAUUUUGCGCAAUGGGGGAAACCCUGACGCAGCGACGCCGCGUGGAGGAUGAAGGCCUUCGGGUUGUAAACUUCUUUUGCAGGGGAAGAUAGUGACGGUACCCUGAGAAUAAGCCACGGCUAACUCU